rnacentral:rRNA from 1 species
GUAGGGGGCAAGCGUUGUCCGGAAUCAUUGGGCGUAAAGCGCGUGUAGGCGGCUUGGUAAGUCCGGUGUGAAAUCCUGGGGCUCAACCCCAGGCCUGCAUCGGAUACUGCCUCGCUCGAGUUCGGGAGGGGAGAGCGGAAUUCCUAGUGAAGCGGUGAAAUGCGCAGAUAUUAGGAAGAACACCGGUGGCGAAGGCGGCUCUCUGGAACGAUACUGACGCUGAGACGCGAAAGCGUGGGGAGCGAACAGGAUUAGAUACCCUGGUAGUCCACGCCGUAAACGAUGGGCACUAGAUGUGGGCGGUGUCGACUCCGCCCGUGUCGCAGUUAACGCAUUAAGUGCCCCGCCUGGGGAGUACGGCCGCAAGGCUA